rnacentral:rRNA from 1 species
UACAGAGGUCUCAAGCGUUGUUCGGAUUCAUUGGGCGUAAAGGGCGCGUAGGCUGCGGGGCAAGUGGGGUGUGAAAUCUCAGAGCUCAACUCUGAAACUGCACUCGAUACUGCUUUGCUCGAGGACUGGAGAGGAGAUUGGAAUUCACGGUGUAGCAGUGAAAUGCGUAGAUAUCGUGAGGAAGACCAGUGGCGAAGGCGGAUCUCUGGACAGUUCCUGACGCUGAGGCGCGAAGGCCAGGGGAGCAAACGGG